GAGAAAACCUGGCACAAGAUGAAGAAACCUGGCAGCUGAGACAAUAGACCUGGCAAAAUCUACAGGAGUUUCAUUCCAGUUUUUUUGAAGAUUAUGACUGAUCCAUGACAUUUCUGAGGCGGCCCAUUGCAGUUGCAGUAUUAUGGCUUUAAAUGUAAUAUCGGACAUCACCAUGAGAAAAGAAUACCCCCAGGAGUCGAGGACAGAAGUGUUUCGUGCCACCGAAAGAUGCGGUCUUACUUCCUUCGUUUGGGAAAGUUUACUGACAACACACAGUAAACUAAAGUAAAUGCCAUAUUUUUCUAUAAGGAUUCGGUAAAAUGAUAGAAAUUAGAACAAAAGGCACCUUGAGAACACAGACUUCUCUACUACUGAGAAACAUCAAUAAUUCAAAUGUAUAAUUAAGGGAUACUGUGUGUGAUGACGGGGUAACAUAACAGUAAACAAACACCAAGAAUUGCUGGUUCUUGCCUGUCUCUUCUAGUGUUUUUGAGGUUAUUGCAUUAUUAGUUAAAUAAGCAAGAAUAAAUUACAAUAGCUAAUAAUUGCUAGAGAGUAGUUUUAAACCUGAGUAGCACUUUGAUGGGGCAUAACCAAUAUAAAACAGAAGUCGUUUUAGUGGUAGCAGUUCCAGCAAUGAAAAGGGGUGCUUGAAUGUAU